AGGAAAGAUCAUUUGCAGGCCAUCUGGUGGUGGACGAUUAGAAUGAGGUGAGAAUGGAAGCACCGAGACCAGUUCACAGGAGUUGCAACUGUCCAGACCAAAGAUGAUAAGUCUCCUUGCAGUUGGAGGAAACCAUGUGACUAGUUUCACCAACAUGCUGUACAUGGAUGUCACACAUGUCAAUUCUGGGCUGAAGUAUGAAAAAGCAAGUUCUCCCUUAGCUUUCCUGCCAUGCCACAGUGACUAAGGAGGCCACGUGUUCCAAGUGUGCAGCUCCACAUGGGUGGCCCCUCCAUCAGUCUGGGUCCAUGAAUGUUUACGUGGAGCACAGAUGAGAGCACUGAGCAUCAACGAUGACAGUUAACUUGCCAAAUGAAGGUAACAUAGCAAGGAAGUGGCAGAGCCGGGAUUCCACAAAG